ensembl:lncRNA
AGGGAAAUCCAAGACUUCCGGUGCCGGGGAUGCCCGAAGACUUUGCUUGACUAUGGGUUAGAUUGCACAAAGCCACAGGAUGAAGUCACCGGUUCUGUCGUCACAACAGUCUUAAGAAGAGCAGACUGUGUUGGCCUGGGAACCAAAUGUGAACUGGAGGCAACAGUUGCAAACUGCUGUCUUUCACUGAUAUGCCUCCUAGCUGGACAGAGGGGAUUAGAUGUCCUUGCUAUGGAUUCCUAUGUAUUGGCAUGUUGGAGUCCACCUCAUUGCGUAGACCCUUUUGAAUCACUACCAGCAGAUGCAGCAUUUAAAGGCUGCAUCCUAUUUACAAUAUGGACACCAGGACAUUGGCACUUGUGUGUAGGUUUUGACUGUCAGUUGUUUCAUCUUUUAGCAUUUUAAAUAGGUGUUGAAAAUAGAUAUGGUGCAGGUUUUUUUUUUUUGUCUGCAGGGAUGAAUAUUCAUCUGAGGGAUGAAUAUUUCAACGUGGAAUAUACAAGAGCAAUGCAUUGGUCGGUGAACAUUUGAUUGAUUUGCAUAUAUUCACAGGUCAUGAAGCCCAAUCUUAAAAGGAUUUACAUUCUUGAUUCAUCCGACCCUUGUGGUUUUGGGCAGGCGUAUUAUGUGUCCAUUUUCAGGUUUUCUUCUAAUAUUCAGGGACUGUUCUUUGUCCCCUG